UCCGGGAACCCGCAAGGGAAAACCGGCGCAAGGGUGAGGAAUACAUUCGAACGUGCCCUGAGGUGGGGGAUAGGCAUGGGAAACUGUGCGUAAUACCCCAUGUGCUCUUCGGAGGAAAGCUUCGGCGCCUCAGGAGCGGCGAAUGUCCUAUCAGGUAGUUGGCGGGGUAAUGGCCCACCAAGCCGAAGACGGGUAGCAGGUGUGAGAGCACGGCCUGCCACAUCGGGACUGAGACACUGCCCGGACUCCUACGGGAGGCUGCAGUAACGAAUAUUCCGCAAUGGGCGCAAGCCUGACGGAGCGACGCCGCGUGCAGGAUGAAGCGGCUUUGCCGUGUAAACUGCUGUCAGGGGCUACUAACACUGAAGAGCCCCAAAGGAAGGGCCGGCUAAUCCUGUGCCAGCAGCCGCGGUAAUACAGGAGGCCCGAGCGUUAAUCGGAAUCACUGGGCUUAAAGGGUGCGUAGGCGGGUCCGUAAGAGCGUCGUGAAAUCCCCCGGCUCAACCGGGGAACUGCGGCGCAGACUGCGGAUCUUGAGGAAGCUAGGGGUUGCUGGAACGCUCGGUGGAGCGGUGAAAUGCGUUGAGAUCGAGCGGAACGCCGAAGGUGAAGACAGGCAACUGGGGCUUUCCUGACGCUGAGGCACGAAAGCGUGGGGAUCAAACAGGAUUAGAUACCCUGGUAGUCCACGCUGUAAACG
rnacentral:rRNA from 1 species